AAACAGUGCCGAAGUCUUUGUGAAAGUGGGUAAUCCUAGUGCUUUGCUAGGCCAAGCGUCCCUCAACCACCUGUCUUCGAAGAUGGCUGUGAAACCUGCGUAACCUGCAGCAUCCGUCCAUAACACAGGGGAGUUUGUCAACGGUGGUAUGAACAAGUUUCUCCCAUUCCAGUCCGACAGGAAAUGGUACCACCUGGUCAGAUGCGCCCUAGCCUGAAUGUUCAGUGUAACCCUGCUGUUGUUGUUGGGUAAGUUGGGUAACAAACCGAGUAGACGUGAGAUGAACGCUCGUCUCAUGGCGAAGUUGUUG